GAUGAACGCUGGCGGCGUGCCUAAUACAUGCAAGUCGAGCGAACAGACGAGGAGCUUGCUCCUCUGACGUUAGCGGCGGACGGGUGAGUAACACGUGGAUAACCUACCUAUAAGACUGGGAUAACUUCGGGAAACCGGAGCUAAUACCGGAUAAUAUAUUGAACCGCAUGGUUCAAUAGUGAAAGACGGUUUUGCUGUCACUUAUAGAUGGAUCCGCGCCGCAUUAGCUAGUUGGUAAGGUAACGGCUUACCAAGGCAACGAUGCGUAGCCGACCUGAGAGGGUGAUCGGCCAGACUGGGACUGAGACACGGUCCAGACGCCUACGGGAGGCAGCAGUAGGGAAUCGUCCGCAAUGGGCGAAAGCCUGACGGAGCAGCGCCGCGUGAGGGAGGAAGGUCUUCGGAUCGUAGAACUCUGUUAUUAGGGAAGAACAAAUGUGUAAGUAACUAGGCACGUCUGGACGGUACCUAAUCAGAAAGCCACGGCUAACUACGUG
rnacentral:rRNA from 1 species